CACCAUGGAAAACGGGUGAAAACCUUGUGCGUGGCAUGGAAGGAUACACGUACGGGCGCACGGGCCAAAAAACGUGAACGUGAGGAAACGGGAAAAACGGGUACGGGGCCGUGUUGCAAUAAACUGGGCGCGCACCAUGGAAAACUGGUGAAAACCAUGUGCGUGGCAUGGACGGAUGAACGUACGGGCACACGGGCCAAAAAACGUGAACUUGAGGAAACGGGGAAACACGGGGUACGACGGCCGUGUUGCAAAAAACUGGGCGCGCAC
rnacentral:lncRNA from 1 species